GAUAUUAUGAAAAAUAAUAGGUGUUUUUUAGCUUAAUAAAGGAAGAAGGGUGAGAAUCCCUCACAGCGAAAGCUACUGUAUUGCAGAUGAAAUCACAGAAUGUCACUGGGAAACUGGGAAGGCGUGAGAGUAGGGAGAAGCAGAGUCAGGAGACUUACCAUUAUCGUCAAUUGUCA
rnacentral:ncRNA from 1 species